GGGUGGCCGGAGGGGUUGGCUGUUAUCUUUGGUUAUCUAGCUGUAUGAGUGUUAUUCAUUCUUCAUAAAGCUAGAUAACCGAAAGUAACAAGAAUCCCAUUACACACCUGAAAGGCAUCACCCCACCUUGAGAUCUGUACUCCUCCCCUCUCCUCUUCUCUUUCCCUUCCUAUGUCUCCCUCUCUCUCCUCCUCAAUCUCUGCAUCUUUUUGCAAGAGCAAGCCACAAAAUGGCCUCCAUCACUGCUGAUAGAGAAGACCAACCAUCCUUGAUACCAGGGAAAGGAAUGAGUGAAGUAUUGGGGCAGGUCGGUUGUGUGGCUGUCGUCCUGCUGGCGUUGCUGCUCCCCUCCCCUUCGCUGCUCGCCUGCCCCCUUCCUCCCAUCACGAGAUGCAGUUUGCACAAAGCCACCAUCUUAGAGCAUGCGGGCAUUAAAUGGAAGUGGAAAAUAAGCAGGUUUUUAGAGUCAAGUCGAAUAAAGUGACAUCCAUUAAAUGGAAGAGCGGAGCUGAAACGGGCUGAUGGAGUCAGACGGGUCUUUACUAUGCAUGUGCCCCAACAUCAGAUAAAAGACAGCACUUUAAUUGUUCUACAUUACUUCAGUCUUAGCAUUUUUGAUGCAGUUAUAGCAUCUAAUGUUCCAAGGGCUGUAUGUUGCGAGCAAAGUGUGUGUGUGUGUGGGUGAGAAACUCUUUAUACGGGUCCAAGUCAAAGCACUCAACAAAUUGUGUAUUUGUUCAAAUGCACUUUUUGGGGAUUCUCAAAGUAAAAAGGUUUUAUUCGGGUAGUUCUAUAGUGAAUUUAAUGAGGGUUUUCUAGAAAAUGUCAUUUUAAAGGCCAAUCAUUUAGGUACUUUUUGAUAAAAAAGAAAAGACAGAGAUAAAAAAAUCUCUUUAAAUCAAUUUAACGCAGUUUAACACUCAGAUCUAAUCUGUCUUGGUACAAUCUUUAGCAUAAUGCACUUUAUAACACACAAAUUGAUUUUUUUAAUUUUAGUACUUUUCAAUAUUAAAGGAAAAUGUAGUGGCCUGUGUUCAUUCCCUAAUGUACUUCUCUAAUAACUGAUUACUAAUUGAAAUCUAACAUGAAUUAUUAGAAAUGGCGUGUGAGGCUCUGUAGAUUCUGCAUGUAUGAGUGUGAGACCCACGGCAGCGGUGAACGAUACUGCACUCUGAUUGGACAGCUCAGUGUGUUGUGCAUCACAUACUUGUUGGACAGAGAGCUGUUGUCUUUCAUUUCUAUGCAAUUGUGUUGGGCUUGUAAUCACCUGGAAGAGAAGGCAGAUCAGAGCAGCUAUUUAUGACAGCAGGUUAAAUCGGUUUUAAGGAAAGGAAUAUUUAGCAGAAUAUAUAUGAAUAUUUCAUUCCUACUAAAACUGGUUUCAACAGCAAACUGUGAAGUCAUUGGCUACUAAAAAGCAGCUUCAUCUAGCUUUUGUGUGUUUUUUUUUAAUUUUUGUUUCAGCACUGAAAAUAGAAACAAAUUUAAGGGGUAUUAAAUGCUCUGUAUGUCUCUGCAUUUUGUAUUACAAUCAAUCAUGGCUGAAGAGAAAAUUCAGUUCAAUAGGCA
rnacentral:lncRNA from 1 species